UACGUAGGGUGCGAGCGUUGUGCGGAAUUAUUGGGCGUAAAGGGCUCGUAGGCGGAUUGUUGCGUAGGUAGUGAAAACCCAGGGCUUAACUCUGGGCUUGCUUUCGAUACGGGCAGACUAGAGGUAUGCAGGGGAGAACGGAAUUCCUGGUGUAGCGGUGAAAUGCGCAGAUAUCAGGAGGAACGCCGGUGGCGAAGGCGGAUCUCUGGGCCAUUACUGACGCUGAGGAGCGAAAGCGUGGGGAGCGAACAGG
rnacentral:rRNA from 1 species